GAUGAAGAACGUAGCGAAAUGCGAUAAGUAAUGUGAAUUGCAGAAUUCAGUGAAUCAUCGAAUCUUUGAACGCACAUUGCGCCCGCCAGUAUUCUGGCGGGCAUGCCUGUCUGAGCGUCAUUUCAACCCUCAUGCCCCUAGGGCGUGGUGUUGGGGAUCGGCCAAAGCCCGCGAGGGACGGCCGGCCCCUAAAUCUAGUGGCGGACCCGUCGUGGCCUCCUCUGCGAAGUAGUGAUAUUCCGCAUCGGAGAGCGAUGAGCCCCUGCCGUUAAACCCCAACUUUCCAAGGUUGACCUCAGAUCAGGUAGGAAUACCCGCUGAACUUAAGCAUAUCAAUAAGCGGAGGA
rnacentral:misc_RNA from 1 species